UUGUCAUGUGGAUAACCUUCGAUUGAAACGUCAUUGUCUCGACCGGUCUUUGUGACUGAGAAUCGGUUUUGACCGUAAACAAUGCUACAGUCAAUUACAUAAGAACAAUCCAAGUAUUCGACCUAUACUAUCUCUCAGCUCUAUUAGUGGAUAUAGCAGUAGACAACCAAAAAACAUCUACUCCAUACACAACUCUUAACUGUAAGCAAAUUUUCAACCCCAACAACCAAAAAUUAAUCUUUUCAAACACAAAUUAUUAGAAAAAAAAGGUAAGGAAGAAAGAAUCAACAAGAAACAAGAAAACCCAGCAUACUUUUUUCCUUAUUAUCAAUCAAUAUAGCUACAGAGAAUAAAAUAAGCAACAAAGAAUAAAAUAAGCAACAAAGAAUUAAAAUAAGAACCUGUUGGGACAAAAUGAGACUUGGGCAAGAGAAACAUAAGCCUUAAGAGAAUCCAAUUUUGGUCAAUAGAGGAAAACCCAGUUGGUAAAAUCAGAGAGUAAAGAGCUAGCGUUGGAGAAGGAGGCUAUCUCAUUGAUGGAGGAGGAGGAGAAGAGAUGGUAAUAUCUGAUAUUUGGGUGUUUCGAUAUUUUACGAAGUGCCUAUAGAAUAAGGGAUUUUGGC
rnacentral:lncRNA from 1 species